AUGGUUGUCGUCAGCUCGUGUCGUGAGAUGUUGGUUAAGUCCCGCAACGAGCGCAACCCUUAUUGCUAGUUACCAUCAUUCAGUUGGGGACUCUAGCGAGACUGCCAGUGAUAAACUGGAGGAAGUGGGGAUGACGUCAAAUCAUCAUGCCCCUUAUGACCUGGGCUACAAACGUGAUACAAUGGCUGAAACAAAGGGCAGCGAAGCAGUGAUGUGGAGCGAACCCAAAAAGCAGUCUCAGUUCGGAUUGAAGUCUGCAACUCGACUUCAUGAAGUCGGAAUCGCUAGUAAUCGCGGAUCAGAACGCCGCGGUGAAUACGUUCUCGGGGGUUU
rnacentral:rRNA from 1 species